rnacentral:rRNA from 1 species
AGACUAGAAUGAAUGGAUUAAUGAAGCAUUACUUUCUUAGGUUAAAUUUUAAAAAUAAUUUUUUAAGUGAAGAGACUUAAAUAUUUAUGAAAGACGAGAAGACCCUAUUAAGCUUGUAUAAGAUUAUUUUGUUGGGGAAACAAAAGAAGAAAAUUUCUUUAUGUUUUGGUUUUGAUAAAAGGUGAUUUAUUAUUAAUAAUAAUAGAAUAAGUUACUAUAGGGAUAACAGCAUAAUUUUUUUUAAAAGUUCAUAUUUACAAAAAAGAUUAUGACCUCGAUGUUGGAUUAUAAUAAUUAUAUGGUGAAGUUGUUGUAUAAAUUAGUCUGUUCGACUAUUAAAGUUUUAC